rnacentral:rRNA from 2 species
GAGUUUGAUCCUGGCUCAGGACGAACGCUGGCGGCGUGCCUAAUACAUGCAAGUCGAACGAACUCUGGUAUUGAUUGGUGCUUGCAUCAUGAUUUACAUUUGAGUGAGUGGCGAACUGGUGAGUAACACGUGGGAAACCUGCCCAGAAGCGGGGGAUAACACCUGGAAACAGAUGCUAAUACCGCAUAACAACUUGGACCGCAUGGUCCGAGUUUGAAAGAUGGCUUCGGCUAUCACUUUUGGAUGGUCCCGCGGCGUAUUAGCUAGAUGGUGGGGUAACGGCUCACCAUGGCAAUGAUACGUAGCCGACCUGAGAGGGUAAUCGGCCACAUUGGGACUGAGACACGGCCCAAACUCCUACGGGAGGCAGCAGUAGGGAAUCUUCCACAAUGGACGAAAGUCUGAUGGAGCAACGCCGCGUGAGUGAAGAAGGGUUUCGGCUCGUAAAACUCUGUUGUUAAAGAAGAACAUAUCUGAGAGUAACUGUUCAGGUAUUGACGGUAUUUAACCAGAAAGCCACGGCUAACUACGUGCCAGCAGCCGCGGUAAUACGUAGGUGGCAAGCGUUGUCCGGAUUUAUUGGGCGUAAAGCGAGCGCAGGCGGUUUUUUAAGUCUGAUGUGAAAGCCUUCGGCUCAACCGAAGAAGUGCAUCGGAAACUGGGAAACUUGAGUGCAGAAGAGGACAGUGGAACUCCAUGUGUAGCGGUGAAAUGCGUAGAUAUAUGGAAGAACACCAGUGGCGAAGGCGGCUGUCUGGUCUGUAACUGACGCUGAGGCUCGAAAGUAUGGGUAGCAAACAGGAUUAGAUACCCUGGUAGUCCAUACCGUAAACGAUGAAUGCUAAGUGUUGGAGGGUUUCCGCCCUUCAGUGCUGCAGCUAACGCAUUAAGCAUUCCGCCUGGGGAGUACGGCCGCAAGGCUGAAACUCAAAGGAAUUGACGGGGGCCCGCACAAGCGGUGGAGCAUGUGGUUUAAUUCGAAGCUACGCGAAGAACCUUACCAGGUCUUGACAUACUAUGCAAAUCUAAGAGAUUAGACGUUCCCUUCGGGGACAUGGAUACAGGUGGUGCAUGGUUGUCGUCAGCUCGUGUCGUGAGAUGUUGGGUUAAGUCCCGCAACGAGCGCAACCCUUAUUAUCAGUUGCCAGCAUUAAGUUGGGCACUCUGGUGAGACUGCCGGUGACAAACCGGAGGAAGGUGGGGAUGACGUCAAAUCAUCAUGCCCCUUAUGACCUGGGCUACACACGUGCUACAAUGGAUGGUACAACGAGUUGCGAACUCGCGAGAGUAAGCUAAUCUCUUAAAGCCAUUCUCAGUUCGGAUUGUAGGCUGCAACUCGCCUACAUGAAGUCGGAAUCGCUAGUAAUCGCGGAUCAGCAUGCCGCGGUGAAUACGUUCCCGGGCCUUGUACACACCGCCCGUCACACCAUGAGAGUUUGUAACACCCAAAGUCGGUGGGGUAACCUUUUAGGAACCAGCCGCCUAAGGUGGGACAGAUGAUUAGGGUGAAGUCGUAACAAGGUAACC